CCUUAGUCCCGGGCUUCAGCAACCGGAGUACCUUCCGCACCACCUUUGGCCGAUGCGGAGCUGCUGUUCCCGCCGAGUCCUUGCUGAGGCGAUUGGCACCCUGAGACCUGGGGAGCUGCACCGAGCUGUUAAACUAUCAACCAUCAACAAGCACUUAUUAGGUGCCACAUAACAGAGCACUCAGGAUACAACUUCAAACAAAAUAGAGUAAGUCACUGCCUUCGUGGGAAAGAAACACAAUUAU
rnacentral:lncRNA from 1 species